rnacentral:rRNA from 1 species
UACAGAGGUCUCAAGCGUUUGUUCGGAUUCAUUGGGCGUAAAGGGUGCGUAGGUGGCGCGGUAAGUCGGGUGUGAAAUUUCGGAGCUUAACUCCGAAACUGCAUUCGAUACUGCCGUGCUUGAGGACUGGAGAGGAGACUGGAAUUUACGGUGUAGCGGUGAAAUGCGUAGAUAUCGUAAGGAAGACCAGUGGCGAAGGCGGGUCUCUGGACAGUUCCUGACACUGAGGCACGAAGGCCAGGGGAGCAAACGGG